rnacentral:misc_RNA from 1 species
GAUGAAGAACGUAGCGAAAUGCGAUAAGUAAUGCGAAUUGCAGAAUUUCCGUGAGUCAUCGAAUCUUUGAACGCACAUUGCGCCCACUGGUAUUCCGGUGGGCAUGCCUGUUCGAGCGUCAUUAUCCUCCCUCAAACCCCGAGUUUGGUGUUGGACCGAAGUUGUGUGAACAACUGGUCUAAAAAACAAUGACGGCGUCCGUGGGACCCUCGGUGCAACGAGCUUUUAGGAGCACGCGCCGAGUUGCAAGGACCUUCCGGGCCGGUCUCCUUUUACUAUUUUACAAGGUUGACCUCGGAUCAGGUAGGAAUACCCGCUGAACUUAAGCAUAUCAAUAAGCGGAGGA